CACGAGGGGGAGGUGGAGAGCGUCCAGACGAUAGGGCAUCACGAGGGAGGAGGUGGAGAGCGUCCAGACGAUAGGGCAUCACGAGGGAGGAGCUUCAACGUUAUUAAUCUGUGCUAUAACUCAAACCGGUACUAACAGUCUGCGCAAGAAUAGAGCAAGUUAGAGCCACGUCAUUAAGGAGCUGGUAGCUGGUGGUAGCUUCAGGUAUCUGCAGGUAGCUGGUGGUAGCUGGUGGUAGCAGCAGGUAGCUUCAGGUAUCUGCAGGUAGCUGGUGGUAGCAGCAGGUAGCUUCAGGUAUCUGCAGGUAUCUGCAGGUAGCUGAUGGUAGCAGCAAGUAGCUGGUGGUAGCUGAUGGUAGCAGCAGGUAGCUUCAGGUAUCUGCAGGUAGCUUCAGUUAGCUGAUGGUAGCUUCGGGUAGCUGACGGUAGCUGAUGGUAGCAGCAGGUAGCUUCAGGUAUCUGCAGGUAGCUGAUGGUAGCUGAUGGUAGCUGACGGCAGCUUCAGUUAGCUGAUGGUAGCUUCAGGUAGCUGACGGUAGCUUCAGUUAGCUGAUGGUAGCUUCAGGUAGAUGGAGGUAGCUUCAGGUAGAUGGAGGUAGCUUCAGGUAGAUGGAGGUAGCUUCAGGUAGAUGGAGGUAGCUGCAGGGAGCUUCAGGUAGACGGAGGUAGCUUCAGGUAGAUGGAGGUAGCUUCAGGUAGAUGGAGGUAGCUGCAGGGAGCUUCAGGUAGAUGGAUGUAGCUGCAGGUAGAUGGAGGUAGCCUCAGGUAGCUUCAGGUAGACGGAGGUAGCUUCAGGUAGAUGGAGGUAGCUGCAGGGAGCAGCAGGUAGCUUCAGGUAGCUUCAGGUAGCUUCAGGUAGAUGGAGGUAGCUGCAGGUAGAUGGAGGUAGCUUCAGGUAACUUCAGGUAGAUGGAGGUAGCUUCAGGUAGAUGGAGGUAGCUUCAGGUAGCUUCAGGUAGACGGAGGUAGCUUCAGGUAGAUGGAGGUAGCUUCAGGUAGCUUCAGGUAGAUGGAGGUAGCUGCAGGUAGAUGGAGGUAGCUUCAGGUAGAUGGAGGUAGCUUCAGGUAGAUGGAGGUAGCUGCAGGGAGCAGCAGGUAGAUGGAGGUAGCUGCAGGGAGCAGCAGGUAGAUGGAGGUAGCUGCAGGGAGCAGCAGGUAGAUGGAGGUAGCUGCAGGGAGAAGCAGUUAGACUGUCUAUGAGUAGACUGUGAGGGAUCGAACCCAGCACCUUAAACUGGGAGUCACACUCCCCUAACCACGAGUAUCCUGCCCCAUUACAACAAAAUAAAUAUCAACUGUAAUAAUUUACAAUGUGGGUACAUUCCUUAACCAUUCAUUAACGUUUGUUAAUGCAGAAAUUAUGGAAAAUGUUCAUGUUCACUGUGUUAAUAUGUUAACUUAAUAUUACAUAUUAUUGAUGUUAAUAGCCUAACCCCAACAUCAGUGCCAUGGUGUGUGUGCAUGUGUAUAAUGUUUGUGUGUGUGUAAUGUUUGUGUGUGUAUAAUGUUUGUGUGUGUAUAAUGUUUGUGUGUGUAUAAUGUGUGUCUUUGAUUUUCUGUGUGUAUAACGUGUGUUUGUGUGUGAGUAAUUUGUAUGUGUUUUUGUUCAUAAUGUGUCUGUGUAUAAUGUGUGUGUAUGAUGUGUUUGUGUGUGGUGUUUGUGUGUGUAUGUGUCCAUGUGUGUGUCCGUGUGUGUGUGUGUUUGAGUGUGUGUGUGGGUGUGGUGUGUUUCUGUGUGUCCUUGUGUGUGUGUGUGUGUGUGUGUGUGUGUGUGUGUGUGUGUGUGUGUGUGUGUGUGUGUGUCCGUGUGUGUGUCUGUGUAUGUGUGUGUUUGUGUCCGUGUGUGUGUGUGUGUCCGUGUGUGUAUUUUUGUGUGUGUGUGUGUGUGUGUGUGUGUGUGUG
ensembl:lncRNA